rnacentral:rRNA from 1 species
GGGUUGUGAGGUUAAGCGACUAAGCGUACACGGUGGAUGCCCUGGCAGUCAGAGGCGAUGAAGGACGUGCUAAUCUGCGAUAAGCGUCGGUGAGGUGAUAUGAACCGUUAUAACCGGCGAUUUCCGAAUGGGGAAACCCAGUGUGUUUCGACACACUAUCAUUAACUGAAUCCAUAGGUUAAUGAGGCGAACCGGGGGAACUGAAACAUCUAAGUACCCCGAGGAAAAGAAAUCAACCGAGAUUCCCCCAGUAGCGGCGAGCGAACGGGGAGGAGCCCAGAGCCUGAAUCAGUGUGUGUGUUAGUGGAAGCGUCUGGAAAGGCGUGCGAUACAGGGUGACAGCCCCGUACACAAAAAUGCACAUAUUGUGAGCUCGAUGAGUAGGGCGGGACACGUGGUAUCCUGUCUGAAUAUGGGGGGACCAUCCUCCAAGGCUAAAUACUCCUGACUGACCGAUAGUGAACCAGUACCGUGAGGGAAAGGCGAAAAGAACCCCGGCGAGGGGAGUGAAAAAGAACCUGAAACCGUGUACGUACAAGCAGUGGGAGCCUCUUAAUGGGGUGACUGCGUACCUUUUGUAUAAUGGGUCAGCGACUUAUAUUCUGUAGCAAGGUUAACCGAAUAGGGGAGCCGAAGGGAAACCGAGUCUUAACUGGGCGUUAAGUUGCAGGGUAUAGACCCGAAACCCGGUGAUCUAGCCAUGGGCAGGUUGAAGGUUGGGUAACACUAACUGGAGGACCGAACCGACUAAUGUUGAAAAAUUAGCGGAUGACUUGUGGCUGGGGGUGAAAGGCCAAUCAAACCGGGAGAUAGCUGGUUCUCCCCGAAAGCUAUUUAGGUAGCGCCUCGUGAAUUCAUCUCCGGGGGUAGAGCACUGUUUCGGCAAGGGGGUCAUCCCGACUUACCAACCCGAUGCAAACUGCGAAUACCGGAGAAUGUUAUCACGGGAGACACACGGCGGGUGCUAACGUCCGUCGUGAAGAGGGAAACAACCCAGACCGCCAGCUAAGGUCCCAAAGUCAUGGUUAAGUGGGAAACGAUGUGGGAAGGCCCAGACAGCCAGGAUGUUGGCUUAGAAGCAGCCAUCAUUUAAAGAAAGCGUAAUAGCUCACUGGUCGAGUCGGCCUGCGCGGAAGAUGUAACGGGGCUAAACCAUGCACCGAAGCUGCGGCAGCGACACUAUGUGUUGUUGGGUAGGGGAGCGUUCUGUAAGCCUGUGAAGGUGGCCUGUGAGGGUUGCUGGAGGUAUCAGAAGUGCGAAUGCUGACAUAAGUAACGAUAAAGCGGGUGAAAAGCCCGCUCGCCGGAAGACCAAGGGUUCCUGUCCAACGUUAAUCGGGGCAGGGUGAGUCGACCCCUAAGGCGAGGCCGAAAGGCGUAGUCGAUGGGAAACAGGUUAAUAUUCCUGUACUUGGUGUUACUGCGAAGGGGGGACGGAGAAGGCUAUGUUGGCCGGGCGACGGUUGUCCCGGUUUAAGCGUGUAGGCUGGUUUUCCAGGCAAAUCCGGAAAACCAAGGCUGAGGCGUGAUGACGAGGCACUACGGUGCUGAAGCGACAAAUGCCCUGCUUCCAGGAAAAGC